UACGUAGGGUGCGAGCGUUGUCCGGAAUUAUUGGGCGUAAAGAGCUUGUAGGCGGUUUGUCGCGUCUGCUGUGAAAAUCCGGGGCUCAACCCCGGACUUGCAGUGGGUACGGGCAGACUAGAGUGUGGAAGGGGAGACUGGAAUUCCUGGUGUAGCGGUGGAAUGCGCAGAUAUCAGGAGGAACACCGAUGGCGAAGGCGGGUCUCUGGGCCGAUAUUGACGCUGAGGAGCGAAAGCGUGGGGAGCGAACAGG
rnacentral:rRNA from 1 species